GAUGAACGCUGGCGGCGUGCCUAACACAUGCAAGUCGAACGGGGUUAAGAGAAAUUUUCGGAUGGACCUUAACUUAGUGGCGGACGGGUGAGUAACGCGUGGAUAACCUGCCUCACACAGGGGGAUAGCAGCUGGAAACGGCUGGUAAUACCGCAUAAGACCACAGCCCCGCAUGGAGCUGUAGUAAAAGAUUUAUCGGUGUGAGAUGGAUCCGCGUCUGAUUAGCCAGUUGGCGGGGUAACGGCCCACCAAAGCGACGAUCAGUAGCCGGCCUGAGAGGGUGAACGGCCACAUUGGGACUGAGACACGGCCCAA
rnacentral:rRNA from 1 species